ensembl:lncRNA
GCUCGGAGCGCUCGCUCUGUGCCGGCUGCGCUCCCAGAGCCGCCCAGCGCCGGGCUCCGAGCAGCUGCGGGCCAGCUGCGGGCUGAGAGCNCAGAGAGCAGAAUUCCCGGGAUCGGCAGAGAGCAGAAUUCCCGGGAUCGGGAUCGGCAGAGAGCAGAAUUCCGGGAUCAGCAGAGAGCAGAAUUCCCGGGAUCGGCUCCGGGGGAUCGGCUCCCCACGGGCAGGACCAUCCCGGACCGGCUCUCCCGGACCAGGACCAUCCCGGACCGGCUCUCCAGGGCCAUCCCGGACCGGCUCUCCAGGACCAUCCCGGACCGGCUCUCCAGGACCAAGAACAUCCCGGACCGGCUCUCCAGGACCAAGAACAUCCCGGACCGGCUCUCCAGGACCAUCCCGGACCCGUUCUCCAGGACCAUCCCGGACCGGCUCCCCAGGACCAUCCCGGAGCCGCUCCCCAGGACCAUCCCGGACCGGCUCUCCAGGACCAGGACCAUCCCGGACCGGCUCUCCCGGACCAUCCCGGAGCCGCUCCCGGCCGCUCCCCUCCCCGUGCAGCUGCCGCUGUAGCGAGCUCUGGUGCGGCGCAGCAGAAGAGGGACACGCAUCCAUCCCACCCUCCUGUCCAGGUGUGCCAGCAAGAGCAGAGCCCCCGUGCCUGGGAAGGGACAGCGCUCUGGACCUGCAGCAAAGCACCACAGCAGAGCUGAGGGAAGGUAAGGACAUGCCAAUGAUGUGGAAAAUGUACAGAGUCUGGCCCGGCCUGUGGCUCCCUCUCAGUGACAGGCAGCUGAUAAAUCUGCUGGUAUCAAAUGUGAAAUUUGCCUAGGGUGUCCUCCAUGCUGCACAAACUCAAUGGACUUUACAAAGAUUAGAUGUCCACAUCUCUAGUCACACAGUUCUGAAGUAAUCCUUUGUUGUAUGAUGCCUCAGCACAAAACAUACUUCAUGAACUUCUAAUUUAAUACCUGUUCCCAAAUCCAAGCACAGAAAGACCCAGCUGUGUGUUCUUGGCUGGGGACAGGUUCUUAACACACUAUGUGCAGAGAGAGGGUCCUGCUGAGAAAGCCUGGAGGGAGAAAGUGAACAGGGACACAGCAGGAGAGAACAGUUUUUAAAUACAGUGUGUUACUAUUUACAUUAAAAUGCCAUUUGCUAUUAGUGCCUUUCCAGAAGAUGCUUCUAAUUUCAGCUUUAUCACCCCAAGCUCUACCCACACAGCCUCCCAGCUCAAACACACCUGUUCAUGUGGUGGUUUAAUGCCCACUCUCCAAACCAUCGUUUUCUUUUAAAACUCCAGCAAACAAAAACAAAUGCCUUGAUGAGCAGAGCUGGAACACAAAGACAGGACGGCUGCUCUGGCAGGAUAAUGACCAGGAGGAGGUGAAGUGCAGGCUUUGGGUGUGCACAGGGUGUCACACCUGCCCCGUGCUCCUCUCCAGGACACACCUGAGCUGAUCAGCCUUCACACCAUCUGCAAGAGGUACAGAAAACAAUACACCAAAGGAGACCAUUUUACCUAUUUGAGAAAAAAUGUCCAUUUCUGGCUAUUGCAAGGUUGCAUUCAGGCUCCAACCUGCCCC